UUUUUUAUAGGUGAUGGAGUUCACCUUAAAUGCUUAGAGCUGAUGACUCCUAUAGGUUU
rnacentral:ncRNA from 2 species